rnacentral:rRNA from 1 species
ACGGGAGGCAGCAGUGGGGAAUAUUGCACAAUGGAGGAAACUCUGAUGCAGCGACGCCGCGUGAGCGAAGAAGUAUUUCGGUAUGUAAAGCUCUAUCAGCAGGGAAGAAAAUGACGGUACCUGACUAAGAAGCCCCGGCUAACUACGUGCCAGCAGCCGCGGUGAUACGUAGGGGGCAAGCGUUAUCCGGAUUUACUGGGUGUAAAGGGAGCGUAGACGGCAAGGCAAGUCUGAUGUGAAAGGUGGGGGCUUAACUCCCAAACUGCAUUGGAAACUGUCUGGCUUGAGUGCCGGAGAGGUAAGCGGAAUUCCUAGUGUAGCGGUGAAAUGCGUAGAUAUUAGGAGGAACACCAGUGGCGAAGGCGGCUUACUGGACGGUAACUGACGUUGAGGCUCGAAAGCGUGGGGAGCAAACAGGAUUAGAUACCCUGGUA